CCCUCUGCAGAGACGUCAUGCAGGAGAACUAUGAGACGGUGGUCUUGCUGGGGUUUCCAGUUUCCAAACCUGAUGUGAUCUCGCAGCUGGAAUGAGGGGAACAGCCGUGGGUCUCAGACCUCUAUGGCUCUAGAAAAAAGUGCUCCCGAGAGCUGUCUGCACAGGUUGUGCUAACCUGGAUCUGAACUGUUUAAUGGGUAAAUUACCCUCUGCUAAUUGCCAAGAUGUUUGGGGUAAAGAGUUAAGCCUGUUGUUUUCUCAGGCUGAAAGGCUGCUGGAAAUGUAUAAGAACCCUGGGACAUGAUCCUGCUUCAUCUCAGAUCUGCGUUCAGUUUCAAGAGAGGGAACUCUUAAGCCAUAAGGAUUGAGAUCCCGAGUCACUGACUGGAGUCACCCUGAAUAUGGACAUUGGACUGUAACCUCUGGACUAUUUCUAAAAGGACUUUUGGCAACUACA